rnacentral:rRNA from 1 species
AGCGAACGCUGGCGGCAGGCUUAACACAUGCAAGUCGAGCGGGCGUAGCAAUACGUCAGCGGCAGACGGGUGAGUAACGCGUGGGAACAUACCUUUUGGUUCGGAACAACACAGGGAAACUUGUGCUAAUACCGGAUAAGCCCUUACGGGGAAAGAUUUAUCGCCGAAAGAUUGGCCCGCGUCUGAUUAGCUAGUUGGUGAGGUAAUGGCUCACCAAGGCGACGAUCAGUAGCUGGUCUGAGAGGAUGAUCAGCCACAUUGGGACUGAGACACGGCCCAAACUCCUACGGGAGGCAGCAGUGGGGAAUAUUGGACAAUGGGGGCAACCCUGAUCCAGCCAUGCCGCGUGAGUGAUGAAGGCCCUAGGGUUGUAAAGCUCUUUUGUGCGGGAAGAUAAUGACGGUACCGCAAGAAUAAGCCCCGGCUAACUUCGUGCCAGCAGCCGCCGUAA